UACGGGGGGUGCGAGCGUUGUCCGGAAUCAUUGGGCGUAAAGGGCGCGUAGGUGGCCCGGUCAGUUCGUGGUGAAAGCGCGGGGCUCAACCCUGCGUCGGCCAUGAAUACUGCCGCGGCUGGAGCACUGUAGAGGCAGGCGGAAUUCCGGGGUGUAGCGGUGGAAUGCGUAGAGAUCCGGAAGAACACCGGUGGCGAAGGCGGCCUGCUGGGCAGUUGCUGCACUGAGGCGCGACAGCGUGGGGAG
rnacentral:rRNA from 1 species